UACGAAGGGGGCGAGCGUUGUUCGGAAUCACUGGGCGUAAAGGGUGCGUAGGCGGGUCUUUAAGUCAGGGGUGAAAUCCUGGAGCUCAACUCCAGAACUGCCUUUGAUACUGAAGAUCUUGAGUUCGGGAGAGGUGAGUGGAACUGCGAAUGUAGAGGUGAAAUUCGUAGAUAUUCGCAAGAACACCAGUGGCGAAGGCGGCUCACUGGCCCGAUACUGACGCUGAGGCACGAAAGCGUGGGGAGCAAACAGG
rnacentral:rRNA from 1 species